AUUGAACGCUGGCGGCAUGCUUUACACAUGCAAGUCGGACGGCAGCACAGAGAAGCUUGCUUCUUGGGUGGCGAGUGGCGAACGGGUGAGUAAUAUAUCGGAACGUACCGAGUAAUGGGGGAUAACUAAUCGAAAGAUUAGCUAAUACCGCAUAUUCUCUGAGGAGGAAAGCAGGGGACCUUCGGGCCUUGCGUUAUUCGAGCGGCCGAUAUCUGAUUAGCUAGUUGGUGGGGUAAAGGCCUACCAAGGCGACGAUCAGUAGCGGGUCUGAGAGGAUGAUCCGCCACACUGGGACUGAGACACGGCCCAG
rnacentral:rRNA from 1 species